GUCUUUUUGUUUAAAUAUAAAGUCUCGCCUGCCCACUGAAUAAUUUAAAUGGCCGCGGUAUUUUGACCGUGCUAAGGUAGCAUAAUCAUUAGUUUUUUUAUUGAAAGCUGGAAUGAAGGGUUGGAUGAAAAAAAAACUGUCUUUAUUUAAUUUUUUAAGAAUUUUAUUUUUAAGUUAAAAAGCUUAAAUUUUUUUAAAAGACGAGAAGACCCUAUAGAGUUUUAUAAUUUUAUUAAUAAAUUUUUUUAGAAUUAAAUUUAUUUAUAUAUUAAAUUUAUUUAGUUGGGGUGAUUAAAAAAUAUAUAUAACUUUUUUUAUAUAAUUAUAUUGAUUAAUAAUUUAUUGAUCCAGUUUUUUUGAUUAUAAGAUUAAAUUACCUUAGGGAUAACAGCGUAAUUUUAUUGGAGAGUUCAAAUCGAUAAUAAAGAUUGCGACCUCGAUGUUGGAUUAAAAUUUAUAAUUGGUGUAGAAGCUAUAUUAUUAAGUCUGCUCGACU
rnacentral:rRNA from 1 species